UGCCAAAAAUGUAGUAUCACCGAGAGUGGCAGGCCAUGUAAAGGUCACAGGGGGACACAUUACCUUAUGCUGUUCAUUUUCUACCACAAGUUUAAUCAUCAGUUCAUUAUCAGAAUGAGGGUGCUGGUGAUGAAUGACAAGGAAAUUGACCAACCGCGUUGAAUGAAAAUCAUGCAAGGACUCAUUCAAACCAUUGUUACCUAGAAUGCAAUACGGUGUAGGAAGUGGGACUUGAACAGAAACGCGGGAUGCUAUCCAAGGUGACUCCGAAAUGAUAGGUAUAUAUGGUAUUAUAAUGGGAUAUUAUCAAUGGUACCCCUGUGUUAUUGCACUUUAUCUUUGGUACCCCCGUGUUUUUCGUAAUUCCAAUAGUACCCCUAAACUAUCUUGCUAAUUACAAUCGUGACACUUAUUAAGUUUUUUCCGUUAAGUGGCCGUUAAUUUUUAUAAAAAACCAACCAUGGUUAGUUUCUUCUUCUUCUUCCCUUUUCCCUCUCCUCUUCCUUCUCUCCUUCCAUGACUGCUUCUUCAAGGUACUCAUGAUUUUGCGGUAAGGUGUUUUCCGGUACUACCAAAAGAUCACCUGGAACUUUUUCCGGAGAGCCCAGUUGGAGAUUACCAAGCGGUAAUUUUCUCACUAGCAAUUUGGUUUGCAAGAGCGAUGAAGCAGGAGGAGCAACUAUCAAUUUCAUCAUCUUCUGGGCUCCUGGUUAAUCAAAUAACCUUUUACUAACACUUUUACUCAUUAAUUGAUUGGCAGUAGAGGGUUCUCUGCUCGACGACGACGUCGUUGGAAACAUUUUCUUACUAGGAACUCCAAUUCUAGAGGUCCCAACACCAUCUUCAAAUUGAAAAGGAAGAAGGAUUGUAGAGUGAAUCUAGAAGGUUCUACGGAAGGUGUAAAAGGUCCGUUAACGCUUCAGGCAGAGAUUUUUGAGUUAACGCCGUCUUUGUGUGUUGUUGAGGUUAAAAAAAAAGGUGGGGAUAAAGAAGAAUAUGAAGAAUUCUGUAAUAGGGAAUUGAAACCUGGACUUGAAAAUCUCGCCAUUGGAGGUAGUCAGAGUUCUUCCACCAUUAAUGGCGGUGGAGAUGUUCUUCAUUCUUCGCAUUUGCCGUCGAAUACGGAGUAGAUUUGUAUUUUGUAUUUUUUUUUUCUUUUUUUUAUGUAAU